rnacentral:rRNA from 1 species
CCUACGGGAGGCAGCAGUGAGGAAUAUUGGUCAAUGGGCUUACGCCUGAACCAGCCAAGUCGCGUGAGGGAAGACUGCCCUAUGGCUUGUAAACCUCUUUUGUCAGGGAGCAACGCCGGCUACGUGUAGCCGGACUGAGAGUACCUGAAGAAAAAGCAUCGGCUAACUCCGUGCCAGCAGCCGCGGUAAUACGGAGGAUGCGAGCGUUAUCCGGAUUUAUUGGGUUUAAAGGGUGCGUAAGCGGAAUGCCAAGUCAGCGGUAAAAUCGCGGGGCUCAACCUCGCUCCGCCGUUGAAACUGGCGGUCUUGAGUGGGCGAGAAGUAUGCGGAAUGCGUGGUGUAGCGGUGAAAUGCAUAGAUAUCACGCAGAACUCCGAUUGCGAAGGCAGCAUACCGGCGCCCAACUGACGCUGAAGCACGAAAGCGUGGGUAUCGAACAGGAUUAGAUACCCUUGUAGUC